UACAGAGGGUGCAAGCGUUGUUCGGAAUUAUUGGGCGUAAAGGGCGCGUAGGCGGUCCGGCAAGUCUCUAGUGAAAUCUCUGGGCUCAACCCAGAGCCUGCUGGGGAAACUGCCGGGCUGGAGUAUGGGAGAGGUGAGUGGAAUUCCUGGUGUAGCGGUGAAAUGCGUAGAUAUCAGGAGGAACACCGGUGGCGAAGGCGGGUCUCUGGGCCGAUACUGACGCUGAGGAGCGAAAGCAUGGGUAGCGAACAGG
rnacentral:rRNA from 1 species